CAACCUGGCUUACGCCGGUUUGAACUCAAAUCAUGUAAGAAUUUAAAAGUCGAACAGACUUCCUUUUAUAAAGGCUGCUUUAUAAAGGAUUCUUAAUUCAACAUCGAGGUCGCAACCUUUUUUGUCGAUAUGGGCUCUCAAAAAAAAUUACGCUGUUAUCCCUAAAGUAACUUAACUUUUUAAUCUUUAGAAAGGAUCAUUUAAAAUACAAACAGGUGUGUAUUAUUUACAAAAUAGUUAUUUUUUAUAUUUUUAUCGCCCCAAUAUAAUAAAUUAUCAGUAAAAAUGAGAUUUCACAAACAAAUCCUCAGAGAACAAAUUAUAAAUAAAGAUUUAUAGGGUCUUAUCGUCUUCUUUUUUUAUUUAAGCCUUUUGACUUAAAAGUUAAAUUCAAUUUUUAUUUCUGAGACAGUUUAUUUUUCGUUCAUUCCUUCAUACAAUCCUUCAAUUAAAAGGCUAAUUAUUAUGCUACCUUAGCACGGUCAGGAAUACCGCAGCUCUUAAAUUUUAUCAGUGAGCAGAACAUACUUUUUAUUUUCUCCUAAAAGAAAUGUUUUU
rnacentral:rRNA from 1 species